rnacentral:lncRNA from 1 species
GGGUCUUCCGGUAGGAGCUGUGAUCAACUGUGCUGACAACACAGGAGCCAAAAACCUGUAUAUCAUCUCCGUGAAGGGGAUCAAGGGACGGCUGAACAGACUUCCCGCUGCUGGUGUGGGUGACAUGGGGAUGGCUACAGUCAAGAAAGGGAAACUAGAGCUCAGAAAAAAGUGCUCAGGAACUCUGGUCAAAGGAACACCACUAGAAAACACUGAAGGAGGCAUGUCAGGUGGUUCUGCUUCUCCAUGGCUCCCUACGAUGAAUGCCUAGAGAGGGUAUUGACAUGGCAACCUGAUGCCAGCACAUCUGUCCACAGCUGGUGAGUCUC